AGGGGAAUAUUGCACAAUGGGCGCAAGCCUGAUGCAGCAACGCCGCGUGAACGAUGAAGGUCUUCGGAUCGUAAAGUUCUGUUGCAGGGGAAGAUAAUGACGGUACCCUGUGAGGAAGCCCCGGCUAACUACGUGCCAGCAGCCGCGGUAAUACGUAGGGGGCUAGCGUUAUCCGGAUUUACUGGGCGUAAAGGGUGCGUAGGUGGUCUUUCAAGUCGGUGGUUAAAGGCUACGGCUCAACCGUAGUUAGCCUCCGAAACUGGAAGACUUGAGUGCAGGAGAGGAAAGUGGAAUUCCCAGUGUAGCGGUGAAAUGCGUAGAUAUUGGGAGGAACACCAGUAGCGAAGGCGGCUUUCUGGACUGCAACUGACACUGAGGCACGAAAGCGUGGGUAGCAAACAGG
rnacentral:rRNA from 1 species